AUGAACAUCGAUCCUCUUCGUAGGGGCAAUCCUAAAACAAAGCAUCAGAAAUUAACACCUCCCCAAGCAUCAUUGUCGUCAUCUCCGAACUUGUCUCAGCAACAGGCUUCUCCUACAAUGAUGCAACCUUUGUCUAGUUCAAACUUUUCAGAGACUUAUAUAACACAAGGAGUUGUUUGCAUGAACCAUAAUAUGAAUGUCCAGCCAAUGGUCAAACCUCCCCCAAUUAGUGACAUGCAAGACAGUCAUUCAGUGAUGUACAUGCAAUCAUUUAAGGAUUCCACUUUUUGUCAAACAGAAUGUGUGUUCUCGGAUCUAGAGUCGAAAGAUAUGUACACUAGAGAUAAUAAAUCUAAACAAAAUAGCACGUGGUGUCCUGAUAAUUCAGAUAUUAGCGAGAUUUUGGAUAAAGAUCCUAAGCCUUCAUGGGAUGUAAAGUAUCUCUUCUACAAUGGUGACUAA
rnacentral:rRNA from 1 species